UACGAAGGGGGCUAGCGUUGUUCGGAAUUACUGGGCGUAAAGGGCGCGUAGGCUGUGCUGUAAGUCAGGCGUGAAAUCCUCGGGCUCAACCUGGGAAUUGCGUUUGAUACUGCGGCGCUUGAAUGCAGGAGAGGAUGGCGGAAUUCCCAGUGUAGAGGUGAAAUUCGUAGAUAUUGGGAAGAACACCGGUGGCGAAGGCGGCCAUCUGGCCUGUUAUUGACGCUGAGGCGCGAAAGCGUGGGGAGCAAACAGG
rnacentral:rRNA from 1 species